UUGAACGCUGGCGGCAUGCCUUACACAUGCAAGUCGAACGGUAACAGGGAGCUUGCUCCGCUGACGAGUGGCGAACGGGUGAGUAAUGUAUCGGAACGUACCUUUCAGUGGGGGAUAACGUAGCGAAAGUUACGCUAAUACCGCAUAUUCUGUGAGCAGGAAAGCAGGGGACCUUCGGGCCUUGCGCUGAUUGAGCGGCUGAUAUCAGAUUAGCUAGUUGGUGAGGUAAAGGCUCACCAAGGCGACGAUCUGUAGCGGGUCUGAGAGGAUGAUCCGCCACACUGGAACUGAGACACGGUCCAGACUCCUACGGGAGGCAGCAGUGGGGAAUUUUGGACAAUGGGGGCAACCCUGAUCCAGCCAUGCCGCGUGAGUGAAGAAGGCCUUCGGGUUGUAAAGCUCUUUCGGCCGGGAAAAAAUCGCAUGGGCUAAUACCCUGUGUGGAUGAUGGUACCGGAAUAAGAAGCACCGGCUAACUACGU
rnacentral:rRNA from 1 species